UUUGACAGGCAGAGUGGACAGUGAGAGAGAGAGAGAGACAGAGAGAAAGGUCUUCCUUUUUGCUGUUGGUUCAUCCUCCAAUGGCCGCCGCGGCCGGCGCGCGCUGCAGCCGGCGCACCACGCUGAUCUGAAGCCAGGAGCCAGGUGCUCUUCCUGGUCUCCCAUGGGGUGCAGGGCCCAAGCACUUGGGCCAUCCUCCACUGCACUCCCUGGCCACAGCAGAGAGCUGGCCUGGAAGAGGGGCAACCGGGACAGAAUCUGGUGCCCCGACUGGGACUAGAACCUGGUGUGCUGGCGCCGCAAGGCGGAGGAUUAGCCUGUUGAGCCACAGCGCCGGCCCAGUCAUAGUGAUCUUAAACUCUCUGAUACUUCUGAAAGCUAUGUUAUAUCUUAGUCCAGUUGUGAUGCUUGCUCUUUUGCUUGAUUGCUUUUUUUCUUGCCUUUUAGCAUGUCUUUUCUAGCCUUUUAGCCAGGCACAAUGAAUGAGAUAACAGCAAUGGACAAGACUUGGAGGGCAGGGGAGUUUUCUAAAGGUGCAGGAAACUGUGGUGCUCUUCAUAGGACUGCUGCCCUGGAAAUGCUGAACUCUCCCAAGUGCACACUUGGCCUCCAGUAAUUCACUGAAAUUCUCUUCCAUGUUCCUACUGGUUACCAGCUCCUGUGGCUUCUGCUCCAGCUUUAUGGAUAACUGAAAAACAUGGAAGAGAAAUACAUCAUGUUGGAGGUUUGUAUAAAGAAUUUUACAAAAGGGAAUAGCUGGCACUCUGUUUUUUGCUUUCUUUCUUUCUUUUUUUUUUUUUUAAGAUUUAUUUAUUUUAUUUGAAAGGCAGAGUUACAGAGAGGCAGAGGCAGAGAGGGAGAAAGAGAGUGAAAGAUCUUCCAUUCCCUGGUUGACACCCCAAAUGGUUACAAUGGCUGGAGCUACACUGAUCCUAAGCCAGGAGCCAGGAGCUUCUCCCAGGUCUCCCUUGCAGGUGCAGGGGCCUAAGGACUUGGGCCAUCUUCCACUGCUUUCCCAGGCCAUAGCAGAAAGCUGGAUUGGAAGUGGAGCAGCCAGGACUCAAACCGGCACUCAAAUGGGAUGCCGGCACUGCAGGCAGCAGCUUUACCCCUUUCGCCACCACAUCAGCCCCAAACUUUCUGCUUUCUAAUGCCCUCCUUGGGGCCACACUGCCCAAGUGAGAGCCUCUCACACGAGGCUGCAGUGGCUGGAGUCCCAGUCCUGGUGCAGGAGUUCCCGAGUAUCAGCAUAUCUUUGAAACCUUCAACUUCCUUAUUUCUAAUAUGGAAAUAACUGAGAGCCCCUAUCCUGCAAGAAGGUUCUUGUGAUUGUUAGAACAGUGCCAGCACUAACUAAGCAUGCAACACACAUGAACUCUCAGCUGUUUAAAGCAUUGCCAAGAAAACAGCCAUUUUGAUAGCAGGUGAGAGCAAAUUGUUUCUCUCUGGGAAAGACUGUCACACUGUACUCUGCUUUUGCUGGGUAUUCCCCACAUUGAAGCCCAAAGCUACUUUCCAUUCUGGCAAGCAGCAUGUAACAUUUGAAAGUGGAAUUUCACUUUCGAAUCCAAACUUUCAUUUUUUAAAAAAUAAAAGUGGAAACUUAUAUUUUUUUCAAAGAUUUAUUGAUUUAUUUAAACAGCAGAGUAACAGAGAGAGAGAGAGAGACAGAGAGAGAGAUCUUCCAUCUGCUGGUUUACUCCCCAAAGGCCUGCAGCAGCCAGGCCUAGGGCAGGCUGAAGCCAGGAGCCAGAAACACUAUCUGGGUCUCCCAUACGCAUGGCAGGAAUCCUAGUACUUAGACCACCACCCUUUGCCUCCCAGGUGCAUUAACAGGCAGCUGGAUUGGAAACACAGAGUAGCCGGGACUCGAACCAGGCACUCCCAUAUGGGAUGCAGCCGUUCCAAGUAGUGACUUCACUGAUUGCACCACAACGCCCACCUAGAAAUUUUAAUUUAAAAUAAAAUUACUACAGUGUUUUACUGUUGAAAAACCCAGAUUCUGUUCUGAUAUUUUCCAGAGAGGAUACUUUGAUCAUGUUAGGGUUUGAGCUGAAGCAUGUGCCAUUCCGUAGAUGAGCGUGUGAACUUAUAAAUGAGAUUCUCUCAAAAUAAGAAAUGAAGUGUGCAUGUGCAAACUUCUGUGAUUGGCAGGGACUUUCACAUGGAGGUAGGAUUGGACAGUGUUGAGUCCUCUGCCAUCAGCGGGGUAGCAAGCCCCAAAGAGAGGAGGAUGCUGGGCCCUUCCAAGGUACCCCGGUGCAGUGCAUGGUGAAUCGGAGGCAUGUCCAUGGAGACAGCAUGGAAUGACCUGGAAGGCAACAGAGGCUGUUGGUGGAUGUAGGGGUGACUGAGCCCCAGAGAGGCGACAGCACUGGUAACUCUGUUAUCUUGGCAUGGUGUGGACUUCCUAAAGAGACAGAGGGACCUUGAGGUGCUGGGAGGGAACGGGAGCCCUUGUGCUGAGCCCAAGGGUGUGAUCCGGAAGUGCUGCACAGGACAUGGGUGAACGGAGAAGUCCCAGCCAGUGAAAGGUGGGGCAAGUCCAGCUGGCAUGGGUCAGCAGCGUGCUGGCAGGAGAGGUGCCCAGGCAGGGAGAGGACUGUGUCUGGCCCUCCUAUGAACACCUUGAUCAUCUGACUGCUCCCUUGGAAUCCCCAAGAGAUGGGGAGCCCAAGGCACUCACGCAUGCUCAGAGUCGGUGCUGCCCCUGUUAGCUGUAGCCUCUGGCUGCCUAUCCACAUUCAGCCUGGCACACUGUUGGCUCUUAUUCAGUUUCCCAGCUCACAGGCCAAGAAUCUCAGGACACAAAGCCUAAGUCACUGUCCCAGCUAAUAUGGCUAAAACCACCUCGGGAGCGUGGGACUCUGGAGAUCAUGCUAUGUUACCACUGUCUUUGUGAAUUAAACAUCUUUUGAGGGAUGGGCAUUUAGCAUAGCAGUUAAGAUACCCACAUCCCACAUCAGAGUACCUGGGUUCAAUACCCGGCUCUGGCUCCGGACUCCAGCUGCCCGGUAAUGCGUAUUCUGGGAGGCGGUAGCAAUGGCUCAAGUAGUUGGGUCCUGACUGCUCACACAGGAGACUGGGGUUGAGUUCCUGGCUCCAGCUCAGCCCAGCCCUGGCUGUUAUGGGCACUGGAGACUGAACUAGAGAUGGGAAAUCUUUUUCUCUGCUUCUCACGUAAUAAUAACAAUAAAAGCUUUCUAGAAAAAAUACUUUUUUAGUUUUUACAAGUAGGGAACCCUCCGAAUAUAAGCAUUAAAAGGCCUUCUUUUACUAUUAACCUGGGAUUCUUGGGCUUAAAGGUCUUCUUUUUAGAGUUUUAUUUGUUUGAAAAGCAGAAUGACAGAGAAGGGGGAGAGAAAGGGAUUUUCCAUCUGUUGGUUCACUCCCGGAAUGCCAGCAACAGCUGGGGCUGGGCCAGGCCAAAGCUGAGAUCCAAGAACUCCAUCUGGCUGUCAUAUGUGGGUGCCAGGGAACCAAGUAUCUGGGCCAUCACCCACCACCUUCUCAGGUGCAUUAGCAGGAAGCUGAAUCAGAAGCAUAGGAGGGGCCGGCGCUGUGGCAUAGUGGGCUUAGCCUCCGCCUGUGGUGCCAGCAUCCCAUAUGGGGCUUGUGUCCCGGCUGCUCCUCUUCCAAUCUGGCUCUCUGCUAUGGCUUGGGCAAGCAGUACAAGAUGGCCCAAGUGCUUGGGCCCCUGCUCCCAUGUGGGAGACCCAGAAGAAGGUUCUGCCUCCUGGCUUUGGAUUGGCUCAGUUCCAGCCAUUGCGGCCAUCUGGGAGAGUGAACCAACAGAUGGAAGACCUUUCUCUCUGUCUCUCCCUUUCACUGUAACUCUACUUCACAAAUAAAUACAUAAAUAAAUAAAAUCUUCAAAAAAAAGUGUAGGAGCCAGAACAACCCAGAACUCCAAUACAGGAUAUGGGCAUUCCAACCAGUGGUUUAACCUGCCAAGCUACAACACCCACCCUGAAUCUUCCUUUUAAAAAUGUUAAAUUGCAAGUUUCUGAUGACAAAAACAGCGUAGACUCAUAAUACAAACUUGGAUAGAGGAAAACAAAGAAGCAAUCCAAAAAAAAAUCACCUGUACCAUCCAUAAUUCUAUUUCAUUCUUCUUUUAAACCAAAUUGUAUGGGUACAAAUAAAUAAGGCAAGAAGCAAAGAUUUUCUCCUAUCUCAGAGGCAAUGCCCGUGGAGAGGCACAUCCAGACAGCCCGGCCACUCCUGCUGCUUUCUCUUUGUAUUUGCUGGCAAAUUCUAAGGGCAGAAGGUGGCUGCCACCCCGCGGGUUCUGCUGAGGGUUCCUUCCUGGCUUAUUUACUUAACCUUCUGGUUGGUAUCUGCAGUGUGAUAUUUGAUACGUGGACUAGGCUGCUGCUGCUUUAUCUCACAGCUGUAUCUGCAGGCGGAGCUUUCUGAAGCCAAAGCCUCCUACAAUCGCUCUCUUUAUUGGGAAUGCCUCGGACACCAGGGGGGAGGGAGUACAAAAUAAGACACUGUCCUCCAAUGUGGAGCCCAAGAGAAAAGGCCUCUUGUGUUGGAAUUAGAAUAGAAAUUGCACCAUUUCCUCUCGAAAGGUCUAGCAUGAAAAGAAGCCCGACUCAGAGAUCAGAACAUCAGAGCAGGAGGCUGUGAUAACAGCUCAAGGGCCACGUGCAUGGGAAAGCAAAGCAGGUGUCUUCCUCCCCACCUCAUUCCAAUCCCAUUCAUUGCCAUUACCGGCUCAGUGCACCUGUAAGGGGAUGACUUCCCCAUGGGUGUCAGGGCAGCCCGUGCACACCCCUCACACUCACACCAUGAAGGCUUACAAAUACCUUCCACAUGAGUGGCACGGACCCAAGUCCUUGAGGUAGCACCACUCCCUCCCAGGGUCUGCAUCAGCAGAAAGUUGGAAUCAGAGGCAGAGUAUUGAGCCUAGUUACUCUGACAUGAGAUGUGAACAUCUUAACUGGUAUCUUAACUGCCAGGUUAACUGCCUGCCCCACUAUCCGGCAAUUCUAAACGUGUGUGUAUAUGCAUAUGACACAUCAAUACAAUUAAUAAUUCUUGGCUCAUAGUGUAUUAUUAUCUGCACAUAGACUUUUUGAUUUAUCAUAGUGUAAGGUAUUUUACUUUGUUUUAUUGUAUGUUUUCUUCUGUUCUCAUUUCUAAUCUCAUCUUCUAUUUCCCUCCCUCAAGAUGAACUCUUAUGCAUUAAGGCAGGUAAAACCAUUGUAUAUUUUCUUCCCCCCUCAUUCCUGGGUGUUGCUAUGAUUAAGGGAGCCUGGCUUUUUGCUUCCCAUGGUGACAUCAACCUAUCAGGUGGCCUUCAGGAUACACUUAGCUGACAGCAUUUGUAUGUCUUCCAAUGCUUAUCUUUUUAAAUGCUGGUUUCAGUUGUAAAUAACUUAUUUUCAUGUUGCAGUGCAGCGUGAGUUCUUAUUGUGGGAUAAAUUCUCCAAUUUUGGUUCAGAAACAUACCCGCCCAUAAGUUUUCUCGAAACAGCCAAGACAAGCAUUUCCCUUCACCAUGCCCCCACGUCUCGGCCCCCUUGGACUCAUUUUCCUGAUUGUCACUCAUUUGAGUCAUCUAAAACCUCCUGCGUGAUCAUGGCGUUCCCCUUUGGCCCCUAGCACUGAGAGCAAACUUCCUUCCAGACAAGGGGGGGUGUGUGUGUAUGUGUGUGUGUGUGUGUGAGAUCUCACUCCCAUGGGGCCUCCAGCCUGCUGCCUUUGUGGUUCAGCCUUGCAUUCCAGACACUCUGUGUCACUUUACACCCAGUGCUGCAGCAAGUGGGCAUAGAGAACUGGCGUUGAGUGAAUGUGUGGAUGUGUGUGUUUAGUUUCCUGCGUGCUGUCACCUGGGCUCCAGCAAACAGCACCUCCUGGCCUCUCCUCACUCUCCUUCCUACCUAAUUCUCUCCUAGCCUUCAGUUCCUUGUCCCACCUAUGAUGGAUGGGCUGACCACACACAGGCAAAGGGGUGUGUGUCACAUGUGGAUAGUGGACCAUACAUUUCUGUGGGACACCAUGGCUGUACUUAUCAACCCUAGUGCUGGAAGUGCAGAUGUCCAAGGGUUGACGAGGAUGUCCAUUUUCCAACAUUGUGCGGCAAAUGAAGCCCUAGCUCCUCCUCCUUCUCAGUGGAGACACUUGGAGAUCAGGGCGAAAGAUUUUGCCCCUGGUGCCAUUCGCCCAGGUGGCUCAUACAGAGGUGCACUUGGCUAACACCGAGACCUUGGAAUCCACCCAGGAGUCAGCGGCGCUGGGUGCCUUUGGUGCACUCAUUACUUUGUAACGAGUGAGUUCUGAGUCCAGCUGGUAGGAGACAUAGGUUGAAGCACAGCUUUCUCAUGGAGAUUAGUGGUAAAUGAUAUUUUCUUCAGGUACUUGAUGAAAUUAAUCAUCUUUGCCUUUACCAGUGAAGAGACACCAAGAGGUGCCCUGGAAAAGGCUCAUCCAUCCAUCCUUCCAGAGAAGAGAGCAUGACACAGAGAGGAGUAUGUGCUGAGGCUCGGCCGCGGGGCUGCCUGCAUGCUGUCUGGUGGGACUGACUCUUCUGAGGGAGGGAUGAGGACAGGAGCCUGCAGGACCGGGAGAAGGGGACAGGUGCAGGGGAUCAGGACAUGUCUACCAGGAGUGUCCCUCGAGGGACUAAGCAGAGAGCCACGGCCCCGCCCGUGUGGAACAACAGAGAGAGUUUGGUGAGGAAAUGAGUAACCUUCGCCCAUCACCUUCUCAACGUCCUCCCCUUCCUAUCUCUAACUCUGGGAAUCUUCAGGAUCUACAAGGUGCCUCCCCUGUCUCUUAGGGACAGUGUGACUCACAGGGCCCUUGGAAGCCAAAGUGUAUGGAUCUGAAAAAAAGGAAGUGAGAUCAUACCCUGUUUUGGAAGGAGCACAACUUUGAAAUUGUUUUUGAAAAAGGUUUGUUUAUUGUAUUUGAAAGGCACAGAGAGCUGGCACCGCGGCUCAUUAGGCUAAUCCUCCGCCUUGCGGCGCCAGCACACCGGGUUCUAGUCCCGGUUGGGGCGCCGGAUUCUGUCCCGGUUGCCCCUCUUCCAGGCCAGCUCUCUGCUGUGGCCAGGGAGUGCAGUGGAGGAUGGCCCAAGUACUUGGUCCCUGCACCCCAUGGGAGACCAGGAGAAGCACCUGGCUCCUGCCAUCGGAUCAGCGCGCUGGCCACGGCGGCCAUUGGAGGGUGAACCAACGGCAAAGGAAGACCUUUCUCUCUGUCUCUCUCUCUCACUGUCCACUCUGUCAAAAAAAUAAAAAAAAUUUAAGAAAGGCACAGAGAAAGAGGCAGGGAGAGACACACAGAGACAGAUCUUUCAUCUGUUGGUUCACUCCAAAUGACCGCAACAGCUGGAGCUGUGCUGAUCCAAAGCCAGGAGCCAGGAGCUACUUCUGGGUCUCCUAUGCAGGUGCAGGGGCACAAGCACUUGAACCAUCUUCUUCUGCUUCUUUCCCAGGCCAUUAUCAGGGUGCUGGAUUGCAAGUGGAGCAGCCAGAACUCAAACUGGCUACAGAGGAUGCUGGCACCACAGGACUGGCCCCUGAAAGUUUUAACUGCUUUUUUUUUUUUUUUUUUUGAGA